rnacentral:rRNA from 1 species
GACGAACGCUGGCGGCGUGCUUAACACAUGCAAGUCGAACGCUGAAGCUUGGUGCUUGCCCUGGGUGGAUGAGUGGCGAACGGGUGAGUAAUACGUGAGUAACCUGCCCUUGACUCUGGGAUAAGCCUGGGAAACUGGGUCUAAUACUGGAUACGACAUGCCACUGCAUGGUGGUGUGUGGAAAGGGUUUUACUGGUUUUGGAUGGGCUCACGGCCUAUCAGCUUGUUGGUGGGGUAAUGGCCUACCAAGGCGACGACGGGUAGCCGGCCUGAGAGGGUGACCGGCCACACUGGGACUGAGACACGGCCCAGACUCCUACGGGAGGCAGCAGUGGGGAAUAUUGCACAAUGGGCGGAAGCCUGAUGCAGCGACGCCGCGUGAGGGAUGACGGCCUUCGGGUUGUAAACCUCUUUCAGCACGGAAGAAGCGAGAGUGACGGUACGUGCAGAAGAAGCGCCGGCUAACUACGUG